GCCUCGGUAGUGCAGUGGUAGCAGGCGCCCUUGGAAUGGGUAAACGAAGGUCCAACUCCUGUUUGAGGUCA